ACAGAAUCAGUUAAGAAAAAGUCACUGGUGGUGCAGAUUGUGCUGACAGCUCAUACAGGAGUGCUGCUAGAUUUCUAACCAUUGCCUCAAAACACUGCUUGCAAACUUCAGCUCUAUAAUGAAAACAUAAAUGAAGCUUGAAGAACUGAAAACAAAACCUGUUUCCCGGCUCUGGAAUCUCUCCUGUUGAUAGAUGAUUCUGCACAAAGAAUACAGCUGUAUUUAAGCUUGCUGCUUCUCCAGAUCAGAGAUGAAAUGUUCAGGUGGAGAGUCAACUGCCUAAUUGUCAUAAGGCUAAAGAUUUGUUCACUUGCUUAAGAUGCAAUGAGUCCUGGCGUGCUCCCUGCUUACACAAGAGGAUUUCUGCAUAGAGGCAUGCUCCAGAAAGGUAUUUGUGUAGAAAAGUGAAAACUUCUGCAGGUCAGUGUAAUCUCUGUUACCUUAAGAAUUCCUGAGAGUGUAACGUGGUCUGGGUUAUUGGGGUUUUUUUCCCUUUAACGCAGCAGUGGCUUAUGGGAAAGAGUAAGGGCUAUAAAAUCUGCAUCCUGAUUGAUGAACCUCAAUAUCAAAUGUCAGAAGCUCUGAAGGUAGAGUCUUUUCAAUUGAUGUUUUAAGUUGUU